UACGUAGGGGGCGGGCGUUGUUCGGAUUUACUGGGCGUAAAGGGCGCGUAGGCGGCGCCGCAAGUCGAGUGUGAAAGCCCCCGGCUCAACUGGGGAGGGUCAUUCGAUACUGAUCGACUCGAAGGCAGGAGAGGGAAGUGGAAUUCCCGGUGUAGUGGUGAAAUGCGUAGAUAUCGGGAGGAACACCAGUGGCGAAGGCGACUUCCUGGCCUGUUCUUGACGCUGAGGCGCGAAAGCUAGGGGAGCAAACGGG
rnacentral:rRNA from 1 species